GACGAACGCUGGCGGCGUGCUUAACACAUGCAAGUCGAACGGAAAGGCCCUGCUUUUGUGGGGUGCUCGAGUGGCGAACGGGUGAGUAACACGUGAGUAACCUGCCCUUGACUUUGGGAUAACUUCAGGAAACUGGGGCUAAUACCGGAUAGGAGCUCCUGCUGCAUGGUGGGGGUUGGAAAGUUUCGGCGGUUGGGGAUGGACUCGCGGCUUAUCAGCUUGUUGGUGGGGUAGUGGCUUACCAAGGCUUUGACGGGUAGCCGGCCUGAGAGGGUGACCGGCGACAUUGGGACUGAGAGAGGGGCCAGAGGGCUAGGGGAGGCAGAAGUGGGGAAUAUGGAACAAUGGGUGGAAGCGUGAUGAAGCAACGCCGCGUGCGGGAUGAUGGUCUACGGGUGGGAAAAAGCUUUCGCCGGUGAAGAAGCGGGAGGGACGGUAAUGGGUAAAGAAGCACCGGCUAACUACGUG
rnacentral:rRNA from 1 species